UACGGAGGGAGCUAGCGUUGUUCGGAAUUACUGGGCGUAAAGCGCACGUAGGCGGCUUUUUUAAGUCAGGGGUGAAAGCCCGGGGCUCAACCCCGGAAUUGCCUUUAAGACUGCAUCGCUAGAAUUGUGGAGAGGUGAGUGGAAUUCCGAGUGUAGAGGUGAAAUUCGUAGAUAUUCGGAAGAACACCAGUGGCGAAGGCGACUCACUGGACACAUAUUGACGCUGAGGUGCGAAAGCGUGGGGAGCAAACAGG
rnacentral:rRNA from 1 species